GAUGAACGCUGGCGGCGUGCUUAACACAUGCAAGUCGAACGGGAAAUACUUCAUUGAGACUUCGGUGGAUUUGAUUUAUUUCUAGUGGCGGACGGGUGAGUAACGCGUGGGUAACCUGCCUUAUACAGGGGGAUAACAGUCAGAAAUGACUGCUAAUACCGCAUAAGCGCACAGGACCGCAUGGUCCGGUGUGAAAAACUCCGGUGGUAUAAGAUGGACCCGCGUUGGAUUAGCUUGUUGGUGGGGUAACGGCCCACCAAGGCGACGAUCCAUAGCCGGCCUGAGAGGGUGAACGGCCACAUUGGGACUGAGACACGGCCCAGACUCCUACGGGAGGCAGCAGUGGGGAAUAUUGCACAAUGGGGGAAACCCUGAUGCAGCGACGCCGCGUGAAGGAAGAAGUAUCUCGGUAUGUAAACUUCUAUCAGCAGGGAAGAUAGUGACGGUACCUGACUAAGAAGCCCCGGCUAACUACGUGCCAGCAGCAGCCGCAGUAA
rnacentral:rRNA from 1 species